rnacentral:rRNA from 1 species
ACGGAAGGCAGCAGUGGGGAAUAUUGCACAAUGGGGGAAACCCUGAUGCAGCGACGCCGCGUGAGCGAAGAAGUAUUUCGGUAUGUAAAGCUCUAUCAGCAGGGAAGAAAAUGACGGUACCUGACUAAGAAGCCCCGGCUAACUACGUGCCAGCAGCCGCGGUAAUACGUAGGGGGCAAGCGUUAUCCGGAUUUACUGGGUGUAAAGGGAGCGUAGACGGCAAGGUAAGUCUGAAGUGAAAUGCCGGGGCUCAACCCCGGAACUGCUUUGGAAACUAUCUCGCUCGAGUACCGGAGGGGUAAGCGGAAUUCCUAGUGUAGCGGUGAAAUGCGUAGAUAUUAGGAGGAACACCAGUGGCGAAGGCGGCUUACUGGACGGUAACUGACGUUGAGGCUCGAAAGCGUGGGGAGCAGACAGGAUUAGAUACCCUGGUA